GAGGAUAUAGCUCAAGUGGUAGAGUGCAUGCUUAACAUGCACGAGGUCCUGGGUUCAGUUCCCCAGUGCCUCCA
rnacentral:tRNA from 1 species